rnacentral:lncRNA from 1 species
GGGGUGUGUGCGCGCGCUCUGUGUGUGCUGGACACAUCCUGUGCCUGGCCCCUCGUAGGGGCCCAAACCCUGACCUUUUGGCGCCGACAGCUAUUCACUUACAACUUUUAAAGACCUCAUCUACUUUCAUCAGAAGACAUUUAUCUACCAUAAAAUAAUGAAAAUAACAGUGACGCCCAACCCUAAGGAUAAAGGAUGCUACUAUACAAGAAGAAGCAUUUUAGUUUUGGAGUUCUGCCAUCUAUUCCUGAUGUUCAUGAUAAAUCUUGUUUUGGUGGUCUUUACUAUGGCAUUUGCUUCUGCUUUCAUUCCUUGGGAAAAUCACUUCUCCAUUUCAACUCAAACUUGCUGCUAAAACUUCCAAAUCUGAAAAGGAAAUGGACCCAGAAUAUGAAGAGAAAAUGGUAAAUAUACCCUUG